UACGGGGGGGGGCAAGCGUUGUUCGGAAUUACUGGGCGUAAAGGGCUCGUAGGCGGCCAACUAAGUCAGACGUGAAAUCCCUCGGCUUAACCGGGGAACUGCAUCUGAUACUGGAUGGCUUGAGUUCGGGAGAGGGAUGCGGAAUUCCAGGUGUAGCGGUGAAAUGCGUAGAUAUCUGGAGGAACACCGGUGGCGAAGGCGGCAUCCUGGACCGACACUGACGCUGAGGAGCGAAAGCCAGGGGAGCAAAACGGGG
rnacentral:rRNA from 1 species